UACAGAGGGGCAAGCGUUAUUCGGAAUUAUUGGGCGUAAAGGGCGCGUAGGCGGCUUGGCAAGUGGAAGGUGAAAUCCCUCGGCUUAACCGAGGAACUGCCCUCCAAACUGCUUGGCUUGAGACCGGGAGAGGUGAGUGGAAUUCCCAGUGUAGCGGUGAAAUUCGUAGAUAUUCGUCGAAGAACACCAGUGGCGAAGGCGGCUCACUGGCCCGGUACUGACGCUGAGGUGCGAAAGCGUGGGGAGCAAACAGGG
rnacentral:rRNA from 1 species